rnacentral:rRNA from 1 species
UAACCUGCCUUGUAGCGGGGGAGUAACUAUUGGAAACGAUAGCUAAUACCGCAUAACAAUGGAUGACACAUGUCAUUUAUUUGAAAGGGGCAAUUGCUCCACUACAAGAUGGACCUGCGUUGUAUUAGCUAGUAGGUGAGGUAAUGGCUCACCUAGGCGACGAUCCCUAGCUGGUCUGAGAGGAUGACCAGCCACACUGGGACUGAGACACGGCCCAGACUCCUACGGGAGGCAGCAUG